GAGGGUAUAGCUCAAGUGGUAGAGCACAUGCUUCAUGUACAAGGUCCUGGGUUCAAUCCCCAGUACCUCCU
rnacentral:tRNA from 1 species